GGGAAUAUAGCUCAGGGGUAGAGCACUUGGCUAGCAUUGAGAGGUUCUGGGUUCAAACCCCAGUAGUGCAA
rnacentral:tRNA from 1 species